AGAGUUUGAUCCUGGCUCAGAGUGAACGCUGGCGGCGUGGAUUAGGCAUGCAAGUCGAGCGGUCCUUGACAAAUUUUACUGGGGCGUAAGUUCUGGUGAAAUUUGUCAAGGAUAGCGGCAGACUGGUGCGUAACGCGUGAGUAAUCUACCUCUAAACCGGGGAUAGCCUUGUGAAAGCGAGGGUAAUACCCGAUGUGUCCCUUGACACAAAGGUGUCAAGGGGUAAAGGUGGUCCGCAAGGGUUACCGCUUAGAGAUGAGCUCGCGUCCUAUCAGCUAGUUGGUAGGGUAAUGGCCUACCAAGGCUAUUGACGGGUAGCUGGCCUGAGAGGGUGGUCAGCCACACGGGGACUGAGACACUGCCCUGACUCCUACGGGAGGCUGCAGUCGAGGAUCUUUAGCAAUGGGCGAAAGCCUGACUAUGCGACGCCGCGUGAGGGAUGAAGGUUUUCGGAUUGUAAACCUCUUUCGAUGGGGAAGAAACCCCUGCACCGAAAUGGUGCAGGGCUGACGGUACCCAGAGAAGAAGCCACGGCUAACUCCGUGCCAGCAGCCGCGGUAAGACGGAGGUGGCGAGCGUUACUCGGAUUCAUUGGGUGUAAAGGGCAGGUAGGCGUCCCGCCAAGUUUUGGGUGAAAUCCUUUCGCUUAACGAAAGAACUGCCUAAAAAACUGGCGGGAUUGAGGCUGAAAGAGGAGAGCGGAAUUCCCGGUGUAAGGGUGAAAUCUGUAGAUAUCGGGAGGAACGCCAGUGGCGAAAGCGGCUCUCUGGUUCGGUCCUGACGCUGAGCUGCGAAAGCUAGGGGAGCAAACAGGAUUAGAUACCCUGGUAGUCC
rnacentral:rRNA from 1 species